rnacentral:rRNA from 1 species
UACGUAGGUGACCAGCGUUGUCCGGAUUUACUGGGCGUAAAGAGCGCGCAGGCGGUCGUUCAAGUCGAGUGUGAAAGCCCCCGGCUCAACUGGGGAGGGUCACUCGAUACUGAUCGACUCGAAGGCAGGAGAGGGAAGCGGAAUUCCCGGUGUAGUGGUGAAAUGCGUAGAUAUCGGGAGGAACACCAGUGGCGAAGGCGGCUUCCUGGCCCGGUAUUGACGCUGAGGCGCGAAAGCCAGGGGAGCAAACGGG